rnacentral:lncRNA from 1 species
CUUCGUCAUCCCCUUCUCCUUGUGCCCUCCACAGUUUGGUCAGACUCAUGUUUGUAGCUUCAAGAACACUGUCCAACCAUCUCGUCCUCUGUCAUCCCCUUCUCCUUGUCUGCUACAGGUUACUAACCCCCAAUACCAUCUGACCUACAGGUCUCCAAGUGAAUUUAAGUCUAUGUAUAUACAGUGGUACCUCGGGUUAUAUACGCUUCAGGUUACAUACACUUCAGGUUAAAGACUCUGCUAACCCAGAAAUAGUACCUUGGGUUAAGAACUUUGCUUCAGGAUGAGAACAGAAAUCGUGCUUUGGCGGCACAGCAGCAGCAGGAAGCCCCAUUAGCUAAAGUGGUGCUUCAGGUUAAGAACAGUUUCAGGUUAAGAACGUACCUCCGGAACGAAUUAAGUACUUAACCCGUGGUACCACUGUAUGUAUAGAAAAUACCUUGAUGGAAGGGGAAAUGUGGGGAUCAUAUAAUACAUUAAUAUAUAAUCUAACAUAACAAUAUAUGUGCAAAGCACAUAGACAACA